AAGCAAAGCAAGGGAAGAAAAAGAAAAAACGUAAAUUUUUCAACUGGCACACACUUUUUACAACUCCGCCUGCUUCUUCUUCUUCUUCUUGGACUUUUUCUUCUUCGCCUUUUUC
rnacentral:ribozyme from 11 species